rnacentral:rRNA from 1 species
GAUGAGCGCUGGCGGCGUGCCUAAUACAUGCCAGUCGAGCGAACGGACGAGAAGCUUGCUUUUCUGAUGUUAGCGGCGGACGGGUGAGUAACACGUGGAUAACCUACCUAUAAGACUGGGAUAACUUCGGGAAACCGGAGCUAAUACCGGAUAAUAUUUUGAACCGCAUGGUUCAAAAGUGAAAGACGGUCUUGCUGUCACUUAUAGAUGGAUCCGCGCUGCAUUAGCUAGUUGGUAAGGUAACGGCUUACCAAGGCAACGAUGCAUAGCCGACCUGAGAGGGUGAUCGGCCACACUGGAACUGAGACACGGUCCAGACUCCUACGGGAGGCAGCAGUAGGGAAUCUUCCGCAAUGGGCGAAAGCCUGACGGAGCAACGCCGCGUGAGUGAUGAAGGUCUUCGGAUCGUAAAACUCUGUUAUUAGGGAAGAACAUAUGUGUAAGUAACUGUGCACAUCUUGACGGUACCUAAUCAGAAAGCCACGGCUAACUACGUG